GGGUCCCGCCCGCCAGCCUGCGGCCUGAGUCACAACCCCCACCCCACCCCCACGCCUGCUGGCCGUUAGGAAGUAGGGUGGCGCGGUUGAAACCACAAACCCGCGGGCGUGACACAAGGAGGCAAGAACAAUGCCCGCGGGGGCCAGAAGGAGCCGAGCCGUAUACUCCGAGCCUCGGGCGCCCACGGGGCCCGUGAGGAGGGAGAAGCCGCGGCACACUCCGCGGCCCGGUUCGUACAACGCCGCCGGCAGAUUCCGCUGGGGCUCAUGGAGCUGCUUAAGGGCUUGGCCCCUGAGUUGCCAGCCUCGCACCCGGGCUGAGCCUGACGCGGCCCCUGACGCUGAAGCGAGCCGGGACUCGGGGGUCCGUGAAGACCUGGAGGGUUCCUCUGUCCCCGGGGAAACUCCAGUCCAAGAAGGGGGCUCUGGUGUGGCUGUUUCUGGGGAGAGUUCCGGAAGUCCUUCGCUGCCAGAGGCCGCAGCUGACAGAGGAAGCUGCAACACAGACUCAGGCUCCUCCGCCAUCUUGCCUGGAACGCCCGAGGCCGGAAGUGGCAGGUACAUCUCUAAUUUAGACCAAGAUGUCAGUCUAUCCCCGGUACCCCCCCCCCCGCAAAAAAAUAAAUAAACAAAGAUGUCAAGAAGCAAUUUCAGGGCCGGGGAUUUAGCUUAGUGGUUCCGCUGACCCAAGUUCGAUCCCUGGUACCAAAAAAAAAAAAACGAAGAAGAGGAGGAGGGGGGCGGGGAGGGGGAGGAGGAAGGAAAAAGAAAGAAGAAGAAGAAAGAUUAAACAUUCUCUGUCAACUUAAUGUAAGAAUUAUACGUUUGAACAACUAAAAUUUAACAAAAGAUGAAAACAUCUGAGAGACAAAGUUAGAGUUUUGGUGUUAUUUGAUGACAUUGGAAAAAACCAAAAAGCUGGGUUUGAAUUGAAUGUUGUCUGGCCUCACAUUCAGGUUACAGCUAGCAAGGAGUUAAUGACCAAUGUUCUGAGAGGCUGUAAAAUUUGUGUGCUAUACAGCAUCUCUUUAUUCACCUUAAAAGAGUAGAAAUUGUAUUUGUUUCUCUUCUUACAUUAGGGGUUUUGGAAAAUCAGAAAUUAUUUUCCAAAUCUCACAAGUUUUUUUCCUCCCUGUGGUUGUGGACAAGUCAAACUUUUUUGAUUUUAGAUUUUUCUAUCUUCAAAAUAAGUCCAGUAAUCUUUGAGGGGUAAUGAGGGGUAAUUAAAAGAUUUAUUUCUGAAAUGGCUGCUAGGUUUGUUUUACUGUUACCUCUGUAGAUCACAAAGUUAAAACUUGCUUUGUGACAAUUUUCCUUUACACAAAACAUUAGGAUUUUAGAACUUAGUCCUUGUGGUGGUGGGCAC
rnacentral:lncRNA from 1 species